CAUACCACUCUAAGGACCUUUAAAAUAUCGAUGUUGUGUUUAUACGCGUUUAGUUCUGGAUAUUUUGGCAACUUAAAUCUCAGCCUGUCUGUUCUGAUUGUACCAUAAACGAAGGGAACCAUGAGCUCGUCUUCAAUCAAGCUGACAAUAGCGCUUGAUAUCGGUGCUCGCCAUUCCGGUUACGCCUAUUCCCUCACGGAUGACCCCGGUAACGUGGUUUGUAGCUCGUUUGGUGACGUCACAAGGACGGCUUCUAGUAUACUGCUUAACAAAGACGGUCAAUUCCUGUCAUUUGGACACGAUGCCGAGGCUCAGUUCCAGACGACAAAGUUAGCAGGAAGUCAGAUUGGUCUGCUUUACCGAAACUUCAAGCGUGCCC